ACGCUCGACACCUACGGGAGCAGCAGUGGGGAAUAUUGCACAAUGGGGGAAACCCUGAUGCAGCGACGCCGCGUGAAGGAAGAAGUAUCUCGGUAUGUAAACUUCUAUCAGCAGGGAAGAAAGUGACGGUACCUGACUAAGAAGCCCCGGCUAACUACGUGCCAACAGCCGCGGUAAUCUGAGCGGGCGUGGCGAAGGC
rnacentral:rRNA from 1 species